GCCUGCAGACGCAGAGCAGCUCAUGUCUGAGUCAGAAGAUAUUCCUGCAGUCCCGCUCCUGCAUAGCAGCAAUGUUCUACUGCCCGACUAAUGAGAGCCAGACAGUCUCCAGCUGGGGGUGCACAAACAUACAGCAAGGUCUAGAGGUCUCUUUAAAAGGGGCUCCCAAGAAAGAAAGUGACUCUCGCCCCAGGACAGAGGGAGCAGCAGGAGAUUAAUAAUUAAUGCUCGGAUACAGAGCCUAAAACGCUAAAGUCUUCAUCAAGACGAGAUGUCUGAUGGAUCCUGCGGCUGCAAUCACAGCUGGAAACCAGGGGAAUUGUGUUCAGAAGGAAAACACACAGAGAAGUCAGGACCCCGCCACGUCUCCUGGCUGCUCGGCAAAGCACUGAGCAUUCCUGCGGCAUGGGAGCUAAGUGGAUGUAAAGUUCAAGGCUGGGAGGCAGCGGGAAGUGAAUGCGCCCCGAUCAAUGUGCAGCAUGCAGUCCAGAGUAUCAGACCAGGCCACCCAGUGUAUGACACAGAAUCACAGAAUAACCACUAGAGGGCGACGAGACUCACCAACUUC